UGUUUGCACUACAUGGCAAUUAAUUGCUUUGUUGGUUGAUAAUUUUAAUAUGUUUUUCUAGCAUUUGCUCAUGUCCCAGAAACUAUAUGUCACCUUACAAAUAAUUAUGAAUAUUGGAAGCAAGAGGCGGAAGAGAAGGUUUGGGCAUUGUUAAUUGUAGUCUAUUUGACUGAGAUAUGUUAUUGAAAACAAAACUAUUACUUGAAAGAUAUUUAUGCAUGACCCAGUCGAUAUAUAGUUCCUGUAAGAAAUCAUUCAUCAAAGUAUUAGGCAAUGAUGCCAAAGUUCUUGGCAGUUUUGCGUGGCGAAUAGUGUGAUACAAGUUUUGCUUUGUGUCAUGUUGGAUUUAACUUCCGGUUUAGUCUAGGUCGUCGUUCACGUUGUGUUUAGGACGGCAGUCAUGGUGUUUUAGAAAUAAAGUUCGUAAACCAUAUGUUAUGGUAGGGGUAUACCCUACCAACCAUGAAAUACUUGCCUCCCCCCCCCACCCCCACCCUUGAGAUGCUGUUUUAUUAAAGGUACAGCUAGGUUAUUAUCACGAGAGGCUGUCACUGUUCACUGUUUUGUUAAUUAAUUUUUUUUCCUAGGAUGAAUUACUUCGACAAGCCAAACAUAAUUCCUCUACAUCGCUACCUGCUUCUCAUUAACAAACAAUAAAACAUGGAAGCUGUUGUUUUUGUAGAAUGCCCAUCAUGAUGGUGGCUAUUAAUUGAAAAUGAGUUAAUAUGUACAUAGUCUUCUAAGUUUAUAUUGGUAUCUCUGAAAAGCAAAGAGUAUAAAUAUGUUAUAAAUAUAAAUAUAUAUAUAAAUAUAUAAAUAAAUAUAAAAAUAUAUUUAAAUUACUCUCUUUUUAGUGAAAGGUCACACGACCUUUGCACUUUUGUAGCGAGAGGAAAUACACAUCAGUGACUAUACAAUCAAUAGAUUAAUUGAGUAAACAACCCUGGCAGCUUGCAAAUAAUAUUCGUUAGCUAUUUUGUCUCAUUUAGUCUGUGGCAGAUUUGUGCAAUUGUGCGUUUUCAGGUAAAAGCCUAAAAUUUUGCACAGAUAUAGAUAUACAAUAUUGCAUGGGUAUGGAUCACAAAUCUUUCCUAUUGAUCUUGUAAAAAACUGGUGUUAAUUAAAGGGAAAUGGCAAUGUAAAUUUUUAUUUUCUUAGUUGAAGUAAUUCACCGAUUUUUCCUGUCUUGCUUAGUUCAUGAAAUAUUUUCACUUGAACUAAUGAGAUGUCCGCCAUCUUGGAUAAAUUUUUGAUUUCAUUAACGGUAGUUUUAGUAACGUCACAACAGGAUUAUGUCUAGUUAAAAUAUGAGCGAGCCGAAGGCGAGAGUUUGUAUAUCAGAUGAAGAUCGGAUGCGAAAUCAAUGUUUUAACAACGACUCAUCUUUUAGUUCAUUGGCGAAGUAAUUUUAAAAAUAAACAUUUUUAAAAAUAAACAUUGUUUAAAAUAAACAUAGUUUGAGGGAAAAUCAAAGCUGAAGUUUAUGUAAAUCAGAACUAAUUUUUAUCCGAUUUACAAACAUUGAUUGACCAAAUAUUGUAGAUGUUUUAAAGGUUUUGAAUGAUCUUGAUCUUUCGAAGGGCAGACAGAAUAUAGUUUUGAGUGAAAAAUCGUUAGUGGUUGCCUAGCUAAAAAUGUUGCGUGAUCUCUGUUGUGUCGUGCAUACAUAUCUACUACAAAAAAUGAAGAUGGCUGACAUUUCAUUCCUUUCGAUCAAAAUAUUUGUGGAAGUAAGAUAUGAAAAAACGGUGAAAGAGUAUUACAUAUACUCUUUAUAAAAGUUCUUUCAAAUGAGAAAAUAAAAAAUAUAUUGCCAUUUCCUUUUACGGUAUUUUCUGCUAGAGUACUAUCUGGUAAAAAUGCAAAAUUUUCUCGUUAAUUUUUGCAAAAACAAACACAUCCAUACCAUUUUAGAGAUGAAAAGUAAUUAAGCGAUUGUUUCGAUUUUUGAACUUGUAACGUGCCGAGUACUCCACUGAUUACAAAAAUCAACAUACUCACCAAUUUAUUUGGCAAUUUAAAGAGUCUUGGUCAACCACAAUGCAAUGGGCGCUUUUGUUUACGUUUUCCCGUUACUUUUCUCAAUUGUUGCCGCCAUUUUCGAUGUCACCAUCCUCGUCACAAAAAUGGCUGCCUCUGGCUCACAACGUAACAGAAACGUAAACAAACGUACGCAUUGCAUUGUGGUUGACCAGGACUCUUGAGUUGUGGACGCUUAAGGCUAGUUUCCACUCAGGAAAAUUAUCCGUGGAUUGGAACGGACAAGAAAAUUUUUCUUUGUCUUGUGAGCUCUGGCCCUGUUACACGGUGCAAUUUUUCAUGCAACUUGUCUCGCAAGUCGCAAUGGCGUUGCAAGACAAGUUGCACGAGUCAUUGCACCGUUUAACAUGUCUUGCAAAGGGUCAAAAUCUUUGCGAGACAAGUUGCAUGAAGCAUUGCACAGAGUAGAAGUUUGUUCUACUUUUGUCAACGAUUGCACUAAUUAUUUUUAGCAUUGCAGCGUGUAACAUGGCUUCGUGCAACUUGUCUCGCAAUGUUUAUUGCUUGGAGAGUUCCUAUUGGCUCUCCCCAGUACACGCUUUACUUUAAUUAAAAUUUGGCGCCAAAUAGCGCCUCUCCUUAGUCUCUUCGCAUACCUCUGUCCCCUAUCGUUGCGAGUUGCAUGAAAAUCAUUGCAGUGUGUAACACCUCUUGCAACGUAUUAUCAAAAUCUUUUUUUAAACGUUGCGGGACAAGUUGCAUGAAUAAUUGCACCGUGUAAAAACUUCGUAGAAAGUGCUUGCUUUGCAUAAUUUAUGCACACUUAUUCCACCGGCACAGUUGUUUAUAUUAAAUUCAAAAUAGAGUUAGAAAAUCGUACUACGCGCCGGAACAUUUCUUUAUUGCAAAGAUAAUACUAUUAAAAUGGACUUUUUCCGGGUGACGGUUAGAUUUCUAUCAUCUCUAUAUCUGUUCAAAUUUGGUGCUUUCACCAUAAAAUGCAGAAUUGUUUCACGAAUCUGCUGGACCGGUUGUUCAAAAACCGGUUGACUUAACCCUAAAGCCUGGUUCACAUAUGCCUGCGACUGUAUCAUUAUGGCUAUUAGUAAAACACGGAGCACACGGAGUACGGAGCACACGGAGCACGGAGCACACGAACUACGGAGCAGUAGAAAAACGAAAAUCCUUUAUAAUAAAAUACACUGUUUACUACAAAUUUUUAUUACAAAUUUUUGUUCUUAUUAAUAAAGUUUUUUCGCGUUUUACACGUUGAAGAAGUAGAAAAAUGGGGCUUUUACUGCAC